rfam:Ictidomys tridecemlineatus contig090236, whole genome shotgun sequence.
GGGGUUGAAGCUUAGUGGUAGAGCACUUGCCUCUCAAGCAUGAGGCUCUGGGUUCGAUCCUCAGCAUCACAU